UGCAAAUCCGAGGUAAGGGUGACUUUGUUCACAAAGAUUUGCAUCCCAUAUGGUGCUGGAAGAUAAAAAUUUAAUUGUGCCUGUGCAGGUUCUUGGGAGCCGCAGGGCUCUGCAGUCUGUUGCUUCCAGAGUUGUUUCUUCUUUAAGGCGAAGGGGUUGAUGCCCUACAGCCUACUGUCCAACAUCUUGCCUUUCUGACCUACAGACUUCUUGGUGACAAAUAGACCACUGACAUUUACUGCAGUUAUAUGUGUUGCUCAUACCUUUUGGAACAGAGGUAGUCAGGGUCUCCUGUUGCCCCUGAAGCUGUUGCAGACUUGGGUCGAUGCAGUUAGAGGAGUGAGGUGGUCGUGCAGACCCUCCUCUCACCGGCACGAAGUCAGGAGCUGCUUGAGAGGAUGGGAGGUCAUCAUCUUCUGUGCCAUUGUGUGGCACGAUGUGGUUUGCCUCUUUCCCAAUGGAAGACUGUGAAGGUUGGGCAUACUGGAACACACGAGCACUGCAGUGCUGAGGAGAUCUGCGUGUGUGUGUGACAGCAUAGGUAUGCCAGCACCUUAAGUGGGGAGAACGUGCACGUGUGUUCCUGCUGGGGAGGUCUGUGCAGGUCUGCACACACACUGACACACAGCCAGGCACAGGAAAUAGAGGGCUGUGAUUGAAUAUUGAUGGUGUUUGAACUAAUUAAUGAGUGGAAGCAAAGCUGAAUGAAUCUCAGAGGUGCUGCACUCCUUCCACAAGCUCUGUCCUUGCCUGUAAGGCCAGGUGUUUAUUUACAUGGAUGCUGAUUUUUGCUCCCUGCCUCCCCCCAGGAGGUCUCUUUACUUGAACAACAGCUGCUUGCCUUCCUGCUGGUAUUUCAACACAGCAAACACCCUGAGGGCAAGGAGGAAUUGUCCCUGCAAACCCCUCUGCACUCUCUGCCCAGAAAACAAGGUCUCAUCAGCAAGCUUACUGUCUGCAACUGUGAUUUUUGCCAUUCUUUGCAAAUUCUUGCCCCUGCUUCAGCACCAAGGCUCUCCCUUUCAGCGCUGUGGUGUUGAGGUUCUGAUGUUCACAGCCUUAAGUCUCUGCACUCCAAGGGUGGUGAAGAAUCUUUGCUCCUGGUCUGCACCCCAUGCAUGGAAAUGACACCUCUUCAUGCAGUUGUGCUUACCUGAUUGAUUCUGGGUGUUGAAGCUAUCUGAGGAGUGGUAGAUGGGGAAUGGCCUUAGGGGCAGAAUUGCUCACCUUGCUUUGCGUUAGGAAAGGUGGUGCAGCCAAAACAGGGCUGCGUCUGAGGGGUUAAGAAAGUGGUGGUGGCUUUUGCUUCCCUUUCCCAGAUGGUGUUUCUGGCAGGAGCAGGGAUGUGUGAGUGCCUGGCUGGAGCUGUGCUGCCCUGCCUGGCCUUGGGGCAGCACCCAGUGCCUGCCCUGCUCAGGACCUUGCCAGGAGCAGAGCUGCUGCUGCCUUGUGGCAGCUUGCCCAGUGAAAAGUAGUAGAAUCGACCGUGCAAUUGUUAAUGAAAAUCACAAGCAGGAAGAUGUAGCCAAGGCCUGUAAUUGCACUAAUUGGUGGCAUCCUCAUGAAUGUGCCAAGAGCCGUUCUCCUGAUCUCAGCCUAGUAAUUCUCAUGUCGUGUUUCAGCAUCUCCUAUGUGAGGAAGAGCCACCUGCCUGCUGGACACGAUCAGUGUGGAAGUUGGUGUAGAGCUGCUCCUUUGUUCUCAGCUGUUGAAAGUUUUCGGUGGAACUCUCUGUGGAGAAGGUGUUGGGGUUGGUGCUGGGUACUGCAGCCCUGCAUUCUUCAUCUGUGGGAUGAGCUGGAUCAGCCCAGCCCAAGCAGGAGCUUCUUGGGCUCUCUCAGCAGGCAGCACUGCCAGGAGCCUGGUUCUGUUUUUUUUUCAGGUAGCUUCUGUGUAGGCACUGAUUGCUGUGGGGGCCCCCGAAGCCAUCUCUUCCCCAGGCUGAACAAACCUGGCUCCCUGUGCUUUUCCUUCCAGAGCAAUUACCCCAAUCCCUGAACGCCUUGCUGGUUCUCUACUGAACUCACUCCAGUUUGUCCAUGUCUUUUCCUGUACUGGGGGGAAGCUAGAUGCAGUAUUCUUCAUAGGGUUUACAAAAUAUGGGUACAGAUGGAUAAUUGCUUCCCUUGACCUACCACCUGCUGUGUAGCUAGCGGUUAGGAUGCCAGUGCAUGCUGCUGGCUCAUGUUUAAUGUCUUGUGUACUGAGAUGCCCCAGCUCUCUUCGUAAGAGGAGCUGGAGAGCCAGGAGUGGUGAGGUGCUUGAACAGAACCCUGUGCUGCCCUGAUAGGUAUUUCAGGCUGCUGUUGUGGCACAGAUACCACAGGGACAUUCCCUUGGCUAGCGUGAGUUUAAAAACAAUGUGGUUUUGGAGGACUUGACUUGCAAAAUUGUUAAUAUGGGGACGGUGACAUUGGAGUGAGGCCUGAAAGAGGAGGGCUGGGCAAGGCAAGGCCAUGUGGUGUACUGCUGCCACUGCACUGGCAUGGCUGACAGUUGUCCAGGUUCUGAGACAAGAGCGGGUUGGCCUUGCUAAUAAGCUCUGCAGGCAGGCCCUGCUCCCAGGUCUCAAAAAGCAUGCAGAUCCUCAACCUUUUCUUGUCCUCUGCAUAUUCUGUGGAGAUGGAUGCUCCUUCUGCCCAACGCUGUCCUCCAAAGCUGUUUCUUGUGAGAGAAAACUGCAAACCCAGCAUAGCUUUUACCCUCGGACAGGUCUUUGGCUUCCCGGACACAAAGUGCACUGCUCACAUUCUCCCCAGUUUCCCUCCAGGCAGCUGUCCUCAAUCUGCCAGUGCCCCUCAGCAUCUGCCCGCCUACCUGUGCGGGGUGCAGCCUGCAGGAUUCCCCUUGAAGCUCUCAUUCCUCCUUACAUCUGUAUUCUUUGAUGUUCGGCAGCCUCGCCCUUCCUGUUAACACUCUUAUCAGAGCCCACAGCUGCACUCCCCUGCUGUUGGCACAGGGAAGGGAGGCAGUUCUGCACUGCAGUCUGAUGGGCUUCGGUGUGGGUGGUAGGAGCAGUGUGAUGAGAAAGGAGCACGUGUGGGGAGAGGGCCUGGAGGAAUAUUCUUGUUACUUGUCCUUGCAGCAGCCUCAGAGGGGGAGGAAGCCUCGCUCCCAGCAGGGGUGAUCCUGGCCCAUCCCAGUAACCACCCUCUGUAGUAGUGCUGUCCAUUGUGGGUUUGGGCAGAGGUAGGCGCUGAUCCCGGGUCCAUCCCCAGGUGGCAGAUGAGAGCGGUGGCUCAGAGAGCUCCCUGCAGAUGGUGGAGUGCCUCCUCACACCGUGCUGUCUGUACCUCGUGCUGCCAGCUUCAGAGAUUGUAAGGCCUGAAGUGACUGUUCAGCUAUCCGGGGGCCCCGUGUAACUCCAAGUGAGAAAUGCCAUUAUCUUCUUUAGCCGGUAAUGAACUCGGUAUCUCUCAGCUGAUGUAUUUUCCAUGACAGGACGGAGGAUGCUAGGAGGCAGAGCAGAUGGCACUUCCCUGGUUGCGUGGCCCAGCGCCGUGUCUCCUAUUUGCACUUGCUUGACUACAAGCUCCAGCCUCUUUUCUUCACAGAGUUAAAGAGCUCUUUCACACCAAGUAUUUUCUCUCUGUGAAGUGCUUACAAUCAAAUCACCUCUCAGGCUCCCUUUUUGGUGCGAUAACAGACUGAACUCUUUCAUUCUGUCUCUGGCAAGUGUUUUCUCCAGCCUCCAAAUCACAUUUGUCAUUCUUCUGUACAUCCUACAUUUAUUUUUUUUUCAAAAUCCCUUUAGAAAUGUGGGCUUCAGAACGGAUCGUCAGCGCCAUCCCACUCACCACCACCGUCCUCAUCUCUGAGCUUGCUGCCACUGCUUUCCCCACUGAGAGCGUGUGCAGGAGACGGAGUGCUCUGUGUAGAGCAAAAAGGACUCCGUGGUCCGUGAAUGACUGAUUUCCCCUCUACUUGAUGUUAGCCCAAGUGGGUCGGUCUCAUUGUCAUCGCCCACUGAGGUUCUUCCAAGGGGCUGUCCCACCAGGUUGGUGGGUCCUGGAGGAUAAGAGAACAAAGAGCAGUGAGUUUUUGCUGGGAAUUGCAUGUUCUUUUGUUCCCAUCAUCAGUACAUGACCUUUGGAUUAGCUGCCUUCCCCACUGCCACAUCUUCCAUGGAAAAACAAGCAAAGGGAAUCUUUUAAACAGAGAAGAGGAGGAGAAGGCAUCAGACCAGAAAAGGGCAGAGAAAACAAGGGAUGAGAAUGGUGAGGGAUGCAGUUGGGUAUGUAGCUAGAGGGCACGAAUGCAAGAACUCAUUCUGUCCAGCACUGAAAGGGCUUUGGUGGGACACAAAACUGUCCUACAAGACACCCCAUCUAGCAUAAGUAUCCCUGCUAUCUUAAUUGCUCUUAAACUUCUCAGCCUUGCAGGACCCGGUGAUUGCUUUAUCAUUGCUGCUUGCAUUAACAGACAGUAGUGGGCACCUGUGCUAAAGAGCCUGCUUUAGAUUACUGCUGAAUGCAGAUGAAACUCUCCACAGCUGGGAGAUUACGUGGGGGAGGAGUGGUAAUGCUUAUGUUUACUCUGUCUUUCCAGCAGGUGCUCCUCUUCCCCCAGGGCUGAAGCGUUUUUGGUGUUUGUUUCUCGUGCCUUAAAUCUGCACUGGCACCAGCCAGGGCUCCAUGGGAAGCGUAGCUGUGUGCUUCUCAGGAGCACAGAGAACAGGCGCAGCUCACGCAGUGCUCAUCUCUAUUCUUUGUCACGUGGAUGUUUCUUACAGAAGCUUCUGCUAAAAAUCUUAGCUCGAUUGGUGAAGGUGUGAGAGGGAUUUGGUCCUUGGUUGUUCCCUUAGCCUCACGUGCCACCAGUUGUGGGGGCUCUCCCCCUAGCAUACAGCUCCCUUGGCUCCUGCUGCAUCAGCACUCCCUGUGCACUGGGCCCAGCCCCCUUCUGUUGCCAUUCGUUAUUUCUGAUCCAAUAAAUAACAGUACAGUGAGGGACUGAUUUAGAUUGUGGUAGGAGCCCUAAUGUCAGGAAAGAAGGAGAAGCGGAGAGUCUCUGCAGAGGGAGAGCACUGGGCUGCGUGAUGGAAGCACAGAGGGUUGGCUGCAAACACCUGGGGAUAAACCAUGCUGGCAUCUCAGAGUGCAGCAGCCUGGCGGAUCCCAGGUGGAGAGGAGGAGUUCUGCAAGGCCUUUGUAGGCUUCACUACAGGACUCCUGUCCCACAGUUCUGUUUGAGAGCCAUACCUUGAGCAGUAACAAAUUGACCUGAGCUGCUCUGCUCACCCUUUGCUCUGUCUCUGCAGGCUGCAGUGCUCUGGCAGAAGCCCAUGAGAGGCACCCAGUGACUGCUCCAGGGGACUGCAGCAGCCGUCCCAUUGCCACGGACGUCCAGUGCUCACAUGAGUGGCAAGAGUAGGUGCAGAAGGAGUUAAACAGUGCUGGGAAAAUUGGUAUUUAAUCCAGUACUGUCCCUUCUAGCAAACCUAGAUGGGAAAAUGCCUCCCUGUUGGAAACGGUGCUUCUCAGAAAUGGAAAUGCAGGGUGGCUGGGGAUUAGGGUGCCUAUCGCUGGAAAUGGGUUUCUUAUCGUCUCUCUGUGUUGAAUUGGUGGGACAGCCUCUGAAAAUUGAAUUGCCUUCCCUGUUUCUGUCUCUGCCAUUGCAUCCCUCCUGUGCUGUAGCUUUGCACUUGCUUUCCUGCCUCUGGUCUCCCUUGUCCCUACGCUCAGCAGAGCAGUGUCUGUCUGCAAGGCGUUCGUGUCUGUGGAGAGGGACGGUGCUGCAGUGGGCUGUGGGCAGGGCUGGCUGCACUGGGAGGGCUUUGUCCAUGGGACUCCCAAGGCUGGGAUGCCAACCCUUUCCACGCUUCCUUCCAACCCUGCAAGGACAGCAGAGGCAAAGCGUGAUAGGGGGCAGCAUGCGAGGAGGCUUGGAAUGAUCAGAGGACAUCAGGCACAACUGGAAAGGAGCACUGGUGGUGAGGAGCUGGGGGAGAGACCAGUCUGAACAUGCAGCAGGAAAGAGACUGACUUCUCAUGAGACAAGAAGCAGCCUUGAUCCCAGGGCUUUGCUGCACCAUGCAGAGGUGUGGCAUCCCACAUCUUUGGCUGUGACUGCAGUGGCCAUUCCUCCUCUUUCCUGCUUGCAGCUUGUCUGUCUGUGGUGAGAAGCACGCAUGUCACAGGCAUCAGUCAGUCUGUACACAGCUCUGUGCUGCUCUCAGACCCACACAGCACGGCUGUUCAGUGCCCCAACCUGCAGCCAUGGUGCUGCACCUGAGUUUGCUCACUGCCCUUGUAUCUUUCUCUGCCACCUGUGGAGCUUGCAAAGAAAAAAUGAUGGAGUGGACAUUAUGGGAGCCAGCACAGAGCUGUCCCGGUGUCACCUGUGGCUACUGAGGGUCACCCAGCUAGGCUGCACCUCACCUGGAUGUGCAUUUUGUCACCCGGGGCUCUCACAGCCCCUCAGGUGUGGUCAUGUGUUUAACAACUAUUAAAACAAUUUCUGUUCCAUUUUGGGCUGAAGCUGAUAAAUCAAGGUGACUUUGGGGAGAGAAAUAAUUCCUUUCCUUAGAUUUGCAUAAUCCUGGCUGGUGAUAUGAUAAUGGUGUUUGUUAAAGACAGGACACAAUAAAUUAAUACUGUUAAGUUGUUGCUGCAAACUACGAAGCAGAUAAUUUAUUGUGGGUGCAAAGGAGAGUGAGUGCUGCAGGCACGGCCAUAGCCUCUGUCCUCAGCUUUCACCACGUGCACCUGGGUUCAGCUCUUGUCCUGCAGCACCACACGUGAGGAGGAGCUGGUGUGAUGCACAGGUAGAGAGGGGUGCUUGGUAGAGGUGCAUUGGAGCCUCACUCAUUCCCUGGGCUGCUGCUGCAGCUCCAGAGCCAUCCUUGCAUGUCAUAUCCCACUGGAAUCCUAAUGCACCAUUUAUCUCUGCAGCUUCACAGCUCUAUUAGAAGGAAGAUGCUGUGUGGGAGCCAGAGCAGGGUUUCAAGCUAAUUGGAUUCUGUGUCUCCGUGGUUUCCCAUGUAGGCAGGCAACAGGGAUUAGUGCAGUGUUUCUGAGGAACAGAGGAGAGUUGAGGAUGACCUGCAUGGGGAUUUCCUCCUGCACAACCCCUGCUGCUAGCAAAGGACUUUUUAAACAGGCUGUUGAGGUGGAAGGGCUGGGAGCAGCAUGUCCUUAAUCUUUGGUAGCGUUGCUGCCUGAAUUUCAUGUUCUCUUCCUAAUUCUUUGAGCCAGGUACCAUUCACUUUCUAGGGAAUAAACCAGCUCAACCAGCCUCCAAGCACAAACAAGCCUGGCGCUGUUCUGGUCUCUCCUGCUAACCCCUUUGUAGGGGAAACCAGAUGGAAAUCAAACUGUCGGUGUCUCCUGAGCACAACUAACCACCUGCCCGAGUUACACUCCUUUGCCUCCCUGCUCCCCUUCCCAAGCCUAGCUGCUGGCUGGAAGCAGUGCACAUCAGAUAUCCAUCCUCCCCGAGUUCCUAGUCUGCCAGGGCAGGAACGGAAUUCACCUCAUUAACAUAGAUUUAUUCCUGUAUAAACAUUUCAUUGCUUUAAUUGCAAACCAGCCAUACUGCAGGCAGUGGUGGCAGUGCCUCCAUUUACACUGAGCAUUGGAGACAGCAGAGUACGUAUGGCACAUGGCUGAGCGCAUACAGGUAGGACGUGCCACGGUGUCUGCAUGCAGAAGUGUGUGCUGUGCAAUGCAGAGUCGGCUGGUCUGGGUUAGUGGCCCUUCUUCCUGGCAGUAGUGAGGCCCUGGGGCCCCAUCCAGCUGAGCACCAGUGCAGGAGGAUGCACCCAGGCAACGGUCUGCUGGACUGACAGCUCUGUAGGUGCAGAGGGGUACCGGUUCCUGACAGCCUGCUGCUGCAUUUCAUGCUCUCUGCUCUCCCCCAUUCUCACCCAAACGUUAAUUUUACGGAUGCCUUUAUAAAUCUCGCCGUUUUUUCCUGUUCAUGGGCUUCAUAGAUUUCAUCAUGCUGAGAGAUGGCACUUCUGGCCUCUGGUACCAAGCUAUCAAUUUAAUACUCUGAGUGUAAUAAAAAACAUGGGAUGGUAUUAACUCCCAAUUACUCUGCUGCUCCUUGCUGUAACUCCUUCUGUUCCAUCUGAAAGCCUGGGAUGCAGAGUACGUGCAGCAGCUGCUGGCAGAGCCACGGGCUGAGGGCAGCCAGCACCUCCCAGCUUGGAAGUGCCCAUUUCCCAAACUGCGAGCUGCUCUCCUGCUUGCCAAGAAUACAGAGGUGUCCCUACCUUUGUCAGACCAGACCACGUGGAUGUUGAGAUGGCUGCCUUUCAGAGAGCGCUUUUCCAGGUCUGUUGAGUAAAUACAGACCUGGAAGAGUCAUUUUUUUUCUAUUCUGUCCCAUGAAGUCGGGACAUCCCUCACACAGAAGGCUCCUACAGCAGCCCAGCCGUGGGGUGCAGGCGCCCAGUGAGUGCCCAGGUCCCAGCUGACCUAUCACUCGACAAGCAACAGCAGAUGGAUGUGAAAAGCCUUUACGUUCAGCACAUGAUCAAUGCUAAACCGAUCUCCUGGAGUCCUUUAUAAGAUUGCCCCAGCCUCAUGCAUCCAAUUGUAACAAAAAAAUCACUCGGCACGCUGGGGAGAUGUGAGAAACGCUGUAGAUCCCAUUUAGGAUGCAAAGAGCCAGAGUAAGUAACUCCACAUUGUUUCUCGCAGUAAAUAAUUCAUCCAGCUUACAUUUUGGUUUAUUGCCCCUGCCCCCAUCAGCUCCCUUCUACCAGUUUCCUUCUUCUGUCCUGAAAUUCCCUCUCUGGGUCACUUCUGUCACUGUGAGUCCCCACCACACACGUGUGUGUGCUUGUGCACGCGCAGCGGCACAGAUCUGACCCAGUUCAGCUUCUGCUGGUUGCCGUUGAUCGGGGCCAGCAGUGCUGGGGCAGAGAUGCUGCCUUUUCACCCGGCUUCCUCACCCCGGGCUCUUCCCCAGCGCUGCUUUUACACGGUGUCAGGACGCGUUAAUGAAAACGUUUGGAAUGCGUUAGCAAUGCUAAUAGUAUUGCUGUACUAAUUAGGAAUGCCAUUUGAACGAACUCUCGCUUAACGAUACAAAUUACCAGCCAGCCAGGCGCGGAGCGAGGGCUGCAGCUGCUGCAUGGAGAGCAGCGAUUACGGGGUGCGAAGCUCUGGCACGGGGCCUGGCAGCAGAAUGAGGCCCUGGGCUUCUCCGUGCUGUCGGAGCCAGGAGGAACCCUGCAGUGCAUCUGGGCCAGGGUGCGUGGUGGGCUCUGCCCUGAUUGCACGGCCUUCCUGGUGCGAGCUCCGGUGGUACUGCUGAACCAGAUGGUCUGUGUGUCAAUGCAAGUUGCUACGGCUGCAAAAAGAGCAGGUUGAUGUGAGCCCCCGCCAUGGGAAGGAGCUUGUGUCUGGCCUGUUAGCGGUGGCAAGGCUUGUACUGCAGCUCCGAAGCCCUUGGCAGCACAGUGGCUCCUGGGGCAUCCUGCUUCUGGGAAGCUUGGUGGAAAGGGCUGAUUACAAAUAGGCAGGUGUCCCCAGAGCUGAAAACUGUAGUCAGGAAGAGCAUUGCUUGCAUACCCCUGUCCCCAGCCUGCUCCUGCAUAUUGCUCGUGGCCACUCUGAAGACGCAGCAUGGACGGAAAAGACUCUCCCAGCAGAAACCAUUUGGUGCCUGAGGAAACCGGAGCCCUGCAGACACCUUCCAGGGAGUGGAUUUGUUGGGACAGGCGGAAGCUCACCUUCAGGAGCGGAUCUUCAGACCUCGUGCAACCCUCUCCAUUGGCUGUUCUGCUGCUCCUUCCAGCCCGGCAGCAGGUAACCUUUUGGAGAGAAAUGAUCCCAGCAUCAAUGUGAUAUUUUGCGUGCUGUCCCCUUGGGAAUCGGUGCCAGUGAGCGUUCACCGGUGCUCCCAAGACGUAGAGCUCAGUCUGGGUCUGGAUCCGGAGCAGUGGAGAUGGAGAGCUAAAGCGCUACAGCAAGAGGAUGCACAAAGCUCUUGAGACUCGAUGCCGCUGGCUGGAGGCGUUGCUGUAUGGCCCAGGGCACAGCAGCGGUGCCCCCGGGUGCCUGCUGCUCACCCUGUCCCCAGCGGUCGGCUCCUGGCAGCUGCAGAGUACGUUUCCAGCCCUGAGAUGGAGUGUUUCUCCCUCAUCAGUCCAGUUUGGUUCAGGGGUGAUGGAGCCCUCGCAGCAGGAGUGAGCUGAGGCUGCUGGGCAGCCAGGCUGCUGGAGCAUGACUUUUUAAAUGCUUUCCAUUACAGCUCUCUGUAGCUCGUGUCUCUGCGGAGCUGCUUUCUGCACAGCAGGGGGAUGGAACUAGGUGAUCCUGAAGGUCCCUUCCAACCCGAGCCGUGCUGUGAUUCUAUGGUCUCACAAACAGGAGCUUUCAGAGUACGUUGCUGCAAGAGCAGCUCUGGGCUCCUUGAAUGUGUCCCUGGGAAGAGCUGCUCUGCACCUUGGUUUGGGGACCCCUAUCACCUCUGCAAAGGCUGUGCCAGGGUUCUGGCAGUGGGGAGGGAGAGGGCAGUCUCCUAUGGAGCAGGACGGCUUUUCAGCCUAUCUUUGCCCAGCUCUGCUCCCUCUCUACCUAUCUCCAGCUAUUUCCUUACCACAACAACAUCACAGAGGGAACACAAGGGGCUGCAAGGAGUUGGAAGAGUUGUCAGAACUGAGCAUCCAGGCCCACCAAGCCCAGGACCUUCCUCAGCCCCAGGUUCCCUCAUCUUUGUACUACUCGCUCAUGCUCAGAGAGCUGCCGGCGCGCUGCUUGCACCCAGCAUCCCCAUCCUGGCCUGGCUCCUGUCCUGAAUAUAUUUUUAUAUGUUAUGACUCAGAGGUUUUUAAAUUUAAUGGGUUCUUUUUUUCUUGCUUGCUUCUUAGCACCUGAACUGGAUCCUCUCUGAGCUGCUGCCAGCUCCAAGGGAUUACAAGUGAAUAAUUCAGGUUCGAUGCCGUUUGAAGUUUCAGGGAAGGAAGUGGCAUGUGAAGCCUGCUCCCCACACCUGUCCCAGGGCCACGCUGCUCCAAAGGCAAUCUGAAGAACACCCUGAGGAGCCACACUCUGAACAUUUCUGUGUGGAUGUUGCCUUCCGAGCUCCUGGCAGCCUCGACUGAGGCUGUUUGUACAGGCUGCAGCUCUGCACAGGGGCAGCUCCCCAGCACCAGAGGAUUGCUGCAAGGCUUGAGAGUGCCGUGGAAUGAAGCGCAGCAUCCUGCUUGCCAGCCCAGGUCCAGGAGGGGUUAAAUGCCGGACUGCUGUGUCUGUUCCAGCUGCAGUGAAGCAUAGAGAAGGCAAUGGACAAACAUGACCUGCUGUAAACGAAUUUACAACUGAACGUAAGUCAAAAGCUGAAUGGCUGUCAGAAGCUGGGAGUUCUUCCGUGACAAAGAUGGUGGGAGCCACAUCCAUGGGCACUCAUGUUUGGCAGCUUGUUCUCAGAUGGCCUUCAGAGAGGUUUCCACAAGCAGAAGUUUGUGUUAAGUCAGGGAGAGGGAGGGAUAGCACAGAGCUUCUCUUAGGAUUUCAGAAAGGCUCCCAGGGACCUUUGAAGGGAUGGCGAUGAUCAUAGAGGGACUAUACUUUGUCUCAAGGGGUCCCUGCUGCUAGGAAAUGCCUCUGGGAGUCUGUCCUAGACGAGGCAGUGCUUUCCUGCACCACUGCUCAGACACUGCUCUUUCCAAACAGCACUCACGGGUCACCUAUCACCAUUAAAACUGCUAUGGCACUGGUGGCAGAGCCAGGAGGAAUGAGGUACUGGGAGCUGCUAUCAGCCAGUGGCUUUGUGCUGCUCUGGGAAGAUCACUUGGUGCGCAUUGCUCUGCUGCUGAACUUCAGAGGGGGAGCUGAGUUUGGGUUUGCUGCUGCCGGCUACAAGAGGCACCUGUGAUCCUCAGGCUGUGGGCUGCAGGCAUGGCUGGAGGAGGGAAGGGGUUUGCAGCGCACCGAGAGAUGGAGACCACAGAGCGUUUGGCUGAGGUGCUCAUCUCUGUUGAGCACAGAGCUCAUCUCUGCUCGGCUCUGCAACCCCGCGGGGUCAGGAGGCAGAGCUGACAUCCCUCACUGCAUCCCAGGGAGGUGUGCUCCCAUCAGUGCUCUCCAUGGCCCGUGUUUGCACAGCGCCAGGUGUUGCUGCUUCUUGAGACGAGGGACACAGAAAGAUACGCUGGGAAAUUAUUUUUAACCUCCUGCAAUUUACUGUUCAGAAGGAUGUCACAUUUGUCAGGGCUGGUUCACAGCAGCCGCGGCGAAGGCAAUCUUUCCCUCAUAUACACACUUCUUUUUGUAAGGUGGCUCUCACAAAAUGUAAGUAUGAUCUUUGAUGGCUUCUGAGAGCUGUUGGAAGAACUAACAAGCAUAUCACAGGGUCCGGCAUUAAACCCUUCCCUGCUGGGGUGCAGUUGAGAAUGGAAACUAUCAGGCAGUUUGAGAUCCAUUUAACAGCAAUUAGUGCAGAUGAAAGAAACGCUGACGUGGAAGUGCCAGUCUCUGUGCGUAGGGUCAGGGGAGGAGAAAAACAUGGAGGAGAAAAUACAAACGUGCCAAAAUGUGGUUAUGUAUCCCAUGAAACAACGACUCCUUCUAACUUUUUCCAUGCGAGCAGAAGCCAAUCAGUCUGUGACAUGAUUGAAGACCUGCAGUAAAGCCAUGGAGCUGACAGAAUUGGGAUUCUGUAUGUGGUAUGAAAGGAAAGGCAAGCAUCCAAUGAACGAGAGCCAGGAGCUGCCACAGCAGAAGUCUGGAUGAGAGGACUGUGCUUUGGAGAGGAGAAAUCAACUCUGGCAGGAGAUAUGGAGCACCUACGGAAAGCAGGAGUAUUUCCCAGGAAAAUCCCAAGUCAAAGCAAACGUGGCCCCAAAGUACAUCCUGACAAAUGUGACUCAGUGUGUCCUUCAAGGCUGCGUCUCCUGGAGGACUCUGUGGGUAAAAGUAUACCGUGGGCUUUAUGUUGAGAAGUGGUGUAUGAAAUGCGGAGGUGAGGUUGGCUUCAGAGGGCAGGGGGGGUUGGCAGGGUGGUAGCCCUGGAAAAAGGAAAGGAAGGAAUACACAACAGCUGAACUUCGUUCCGUGGGCACAGGGCACGGUAGGCUACAUUUCAGUCUGUUCUAAAAGCACCUACACUGGUAGGUCCUACACUUGGGAAGUAAGAGGGAAGACACAGUUUUGCUGUUUGGAAAUAGUAAUGUUUGUUAUAAGGUUAGGAUUAUUCCCUGGAUCCCGGUAACCGAGUGAGCUCGGCGUGCUCACUUGUGCUGUGCCUUUGGGGAGGCUUGGGUUCCUGCAGCUGCACGCGCUUAUCAGGAAGUGAUACACAGGGAAACCUGUUAGCAGCCACAGAAGAACAACGCACGGCACGAGGAAAGUGUAUCUCAAAGGGAACUCUCUGAGCGGGGCUGUAGGAAUUCACCAGGCAUGCACAGACGUCUGUUAAAAGGCGGUGGAUCGGAUGGUGACGGCUGGACAGGGUUUGCAUAGAGGGGAUUGGGUGUUGGGAAGGAUGGGCUCUCAUGCUGUACCUGCAGAUGCAGGCUCUGGACAGGGGCUCCUUCACCAGCAGUGCUGGGGCUUUGCUGCUCCCUCCCAGCCACGUUCUUUUUGAGGUUGAUGAGCUCGGCCAUUACGGCUCCAGCCUACUUCAAAAGUGGUCACAUUGCCAUGCCUUGCUGGGAUGUGAGUCCAAAGACCGUCCAAG
ensembl:lncRNA